rnacentral:rRNA from 1 species
CACGUAGGCACCAAGCGUUGUCCGGAUUUAUUGGGCGUAAAGAGCUCGUAGGCGGUUCGAUAAGUCGGGUGUGAAAACUUUGGGCUCAACCCAAAGCGUGCAUUCGAUACUGUUGUGACUAGAGUUCGGUAGGGGAGUGGGGAAUUCCUAGUGUAGCGGUGAAAUUCGUAGAGAUUGGGUGGAACACCAGUGGCGAAGGCGCCUGUCUGGCUGACAACUGACGCUGAGACUCGAAAGCAUGGGGAGCAAACAGG